UACGUAGGGUGCGAGCGUUGUCCGGAAUUAUUGGGCGUAAAGGGCUCGUAGGCGGUCUGUUGCGUCGGGAGUGAAAACUCAGGGCUUAACCCUGAGCCUGCUUCCGAUACGGGCAGACUAGAGGUAUGCAGGGGAGAACGGAAUUCCUGGUGUAGCGGUGGAAUGCGCAGAUAUCAGGAGGAACACCGGUGGCGAAGGCGGUUCUCUGGGCAUUACCUGACGCUGAGGAGCGAAAGUGUGGGGAGCGAACAGG
rnacentral:rRNA from 1 species